AUUGAACGCUGGCGGCAGGCCUAACACAUGCAAGUCGAACGAGUGGCGGACGGGUGAGUAAUGUCUUGGAAACUGCCUGAUGUAGGGGGCUGACUACUGGAAACGGUAGCUAAUACCGCAUACCAUCGGAUGUGCCCAGAUGGGAUUAGCUAGUAGGUGGGGUAACGGCUCACCUAGGCGACGAUCCCUAGCUGGUCUGAGAGGAUGACCAGCCACACUGGAACUGAGACACGGUCCAGACUCCUACGGGAGGCAGCAGUGGGGAAUAUUGGACAAUGGGCGCAAGUCUGAUGCAGCCAUGCCGCGUGUAUGAAGAAGGCCUUCGGGUUGUAAAGUACUUUCAGCGGGGAGGCGUUACUCGCAGAAGAAGCACCGGCUAACUCCGUGCCAGCAGCCGCGGUAAUAC
rnacentral:rRNA from 1 species